UGAGACCCUGUCUCUACAAAAAAAUCAAGAAAUUAGCUGGAUGUGGUGGUGUGUGCCUGGAAGGAAGGAAGGAGGGAGGGAAGGAAGGAAGGAAUGUUCCUUCCUCUUCUAUUUGUUGGAAGCAUUUGAAAAGAAUGUGUACUUAACUUAUUGGUAGACUUCAUCACUGAAAUCAUUCAGUCAUGACCUUUUCUUGUUUGGAGGUUUUUGAUUACUAAUUCUAGUUCUUAUUACAGAUCUGUUGAGAUUUUCUAUUUCUUCUUGAGUUAGUUUUAUG
rnacentral:lncRNA from 10 species